rnacentral:lncRNA from 1 species
CUUAUGUUGUUUCGAUUCAGUUGAAUUCUCUCAAGACACCAUGUGAUCGAUGUUGUCUAUGACAUGUGGAUUUGAAAUUACAAUGUCCAGAUUUGUCUUGCCGUUUGGCAAGUCACAAAACAAUAUGAUUAAUUGGAGUCGCCUCAUCUUGGGGAUUAAAUGGAUUGGGGUCCUUAUUAUGGGGUUUCGAUGAGGUUUGGUGCCUCUUGAACAUAACAGGGGACAUGAUGCCACAAUUUUAGUUUUCAAAAAGCAUCGAGAUAAUGUUCCAAACAAUAGUAUGCGUCUCCACUAAAUCCAUGUAUUUAUGUAUGCGUCGAACAGCAAAACGUGUUAUAUCGACUACUUUAUUUACACUGGCCUUUUACCCGUGUAUUUAUGGGACACGAUCACGAUCACCAUUUAGUGGUUAAUUUUAGUUUCCCAUUACUCAAGUAGUUUUCUCAAUUAUCUCUAUGUUUUAUUUAUUUUGUUGAUUACUAUAAUGAUCCUUGUUUUUGUUCGUUUUAGUUGACUCAUUAAGGGUAAUUGUGACAGUUCACAAUUUGUUGAAUUUCCUGACUCUGCAGAUAUCAGAACCUCAAAGCAAAUGUCAUAACUAUUAAAUAAGUAUUCUCAAUAAUCUGAUGGGAAAUAAAUUAAACCACAUGAUAUUUUUAUCUUGCCAUUUUCGUAUUCAUUAAAAAUUAACUUUCUUUCCACAUUAUUCUUGAAAGAGACAACAUGUCAUUAAGAUAUUCCUUGUUUCUGGUCUCGGUUGUAAUUUAAACAGCGGAUUGACGCUGGCUAUUAACAAUGCCUCUUACUGCUAUCAACGCUUGAACACACCAUAAUAUAGCUUCUUGGUUAUCCCUCGUCUGAACCCACUUCUACUUUGCUUGACCACUUUGACAACCCCCGACCUGCCAUGAGCCAUUACCACACCCUUAAACAUCCUCCCUCGUGAUAGCCAAAAACUCCAAAAACAUAGAUCGUAACCCAUCUAAACCACCUAAAGAAGACCGCCCAAACCUCCAACACCAACCAAGCAUCCGCUCAAGGACCUUGUCGAUGUCUUUGACCCGUCACAAGCCCGUCCAACGAUGACGCCAUAGGGAGACGCCAUCGACACCUCGUCAUAAACCUUAUAUCAAUGAGAUCUGAACUCAUGACUCUUAAGCUAGCUUAGCAAUACAUCACAGCUCAUUGACCACAUUAACCAUAUUUGAUUAAUUAUUCUCUUAUUGUUUAGGAUUGUAAUCAUUUAUCUAAUUAAUCGAUAUAAUUAUCUUUCUUUUAAUAAGAUUCAACUAGCUUGGUAAGAAUGAUCUAAAGGUUAAUUGAGUGCUUACCCCAUCAAAAAGUACACCAUAUAUUCAAUCAAGAUCCAUAAUUCCUUCAAACUUGGUCAUCAUCACUCCCUUAAGUUUGACAACCCAAUUAGCUAGGGCAGACUAUGUGGUUAAUAUCAAAUUAUCAAGUGGUACCACCAUUCUUUAAAAUGAAGGAUCCAACAUCCACAUAUAUAUGAAUGGAGUGCAGGGUAAUUUUCCCAAAUGAUAAAAGCAUUGUUUGGAAAUACAAAGACAUGUGACCUCAAUUGGAGAGAGGGGAGAUGUUGCUUUAGCCAGACAAAUCCCUUUUGUAAUGACUAAGGAAGAAAGCAUAGAAGGUUUGAGUUCACGAAGGAAAGUGAUUGCAAAGAAAUGUUUGUUUUGGAGUUGCUGGAUUUGAGGCGCAAGUCAAGGCUUUGAAUGUGUUGAGUGAAGUCCUUCUAGUUUUAGGUAUGCAAGAGGAAACAAAAAACAAAGUGUUUGUUUGGGAAUUAUUCUGGACAGUUUCCAAAUGGAUAUAUGUAUCUGAGUGGUUGUUGGAAUUGAAUUAAGAAAAUAAAUGUCUUAAGUGGUCCAGCUAACCAUCACCAUUUCCUAAUUGUUUUAUAAGGCUAGUUACACUUGGGGUCGUGAUAUCUAAGUCCCAUUUCUAUAGUGAAAGUAGCUUGUAUCAAAUGUUUAUCUUAAUAUGAUUAUGAUACAUCUCGAUGUGUUUAGUGAUGUGUUUAUAUAUAUUUAAUAUUAAUAAUAAAAUUUAUUUUAUUUUAAAAGUAACUUUCUGAUGGAUACUAUAAACCAAGAUUUUUUUAAGAUGCAAUGUAAAAGACAACCAUUUUAUUAUAUAUGUAUACGCAUAUAAAUCUUUGCCCGUUGGCAAGCAAUUUUAAGUAUUUUUGAUUUUGAAAUUGCAUUCAUUAAAGGAAGUGACAACCAUAUCCCAGAUUUCCUAACUCGUGAAUUUCUACAGGGCGCCAAAACAUGAAGCCCAGUUCAUCCAAAGGGAGAAAUCUCGGAAAAGCAAUAGCCACGACAUCCUCUCUAGUUAAGACAGAAUCACCUGAGUCAAACCCUAGCAUAGUUCCUUAUGUAGGACGUUCCCAUUCCUUUAGUCAAUCAGUAUAGUGCUCUUGGUAGCACCCUCAGUCAAUCUAAACCCAAUUACCAGUCAGCUUUAGUCAACCAAUUUGACCCCUACAAAUCAGACUCCUCAUUCAACUUUCCAAUUAAUUAUAAAAAAUCCUCCCCUUACUAUGACAAGGCUGAACAUUUCCUAUUCUACAUUGAACCUUCUAUGAGUCAUAUAAAAAAGGAUUAAAUUCAGUUUGCCCCCUCGUACUUUAGGUCAAUAAUCAAUUUGGUCCCAUAUCUUUUUUUUAAUAACGUUGGUCCUUGAAGUUCUAUUUCACAUCAGUUUAGUCCAAUUUUUGAAUUGCCCUUCUUAUCAUGACGUCAUGCGCUGAGUUGUCCGCGAGAGUUUACGUAAAAUGAUCAAAUUAGCCCUCCUUACAGUCUAUACAUCUCUCUCUCUCUNNNNN